GGACUACCGGGGUUUCUAAUCCCAUUCGCUCCCCACGCUCUCGUCCUAGCAGUGUCAGGUGGCACCCAGUCCUCUGCCUUCGCUUUCGGUGUUCCGAACGAUAUCAACGCAUUUCACUACUACACCGUUCGUUCCAAGGACCUCUUUGCCCCUCUAGUCGUGCAGUAUUUUGAGCAAACUCAGAAGUUAAGCUUCUGGCUUUUACCCAAAACUUUCACAACCACCUAUCGGUACGCUUUACGCCCAAUGAUUCCGGAUAACGCUUGAGGUCUCUGUAUUACCGCGGCGGCUGGCAC
rnacentral:rRNA from 1 species